UGACCGCUGGCGGCGUGCCUAAUACAUGCACGUCGAGCGAACGGACGAGAAGCUUGCUUCUCUGAUGUUAGCGGCGGACGGGUGAGUAACACGUGGAUAACCUACCUAUAAGACUGGGAUAACUUCGGGAAACCGGAGCUAAUACCGGAUAAUAUUUUGAACCGCAUGGUUCAAAAGUGAAAGACGGUCUUGCUGUCACUUAUAGAUGGAUCCGCGCUGCAUUAGCUAGUUGGUAAGGUAACGGCUUACCAAGGCAACGAUGCAUAGCCGACCUGAGAGGGGGAGCGGCCACACUGGAACUGAGACACGGUCCAGACUCCUACGGGAGGCAGCAGUAGGGAAUCUUCCGCAAUGGGCGAAAGCCUGACGGAGCAACGCCGCGUGAGUGAUGAAGGUCUUCGGAUCGUAAAACUCUGUUAUUAGGGAAGAACAUAUGUGUAAGUAACUGUGCACAUCUUGACGGUACCUAAUCAGAAAGCCACGGCUAACUACGUG
rnacentral:rRNA from 1 species